rnacentral:rRNA from 1 species
UAUCUUACAAUAUAGGUGAUAUGAAAUCCUAAAUUUCUUGAUAAAAUCAAGGCAAGUAUAUAAAGAAACUAUUAUGGAUAAUUAGCUAUAUAUUAAAGAAAUCUAGUCAAACUAGUUUCUAAGAGAAAUCAAAUAAUAAACGAAGUGAAUUGAAAUAUCUUAGUAACUUUAGGAAAAGAAAUCAAACGAGAUUGUUCUUUGGUGUAAACUAAAUAACAAAAGCCUAAUAACAAAACUUGUUAAAGUAAAACGGAUUAAAAUCUGUUUGAAUAUAGGGGAACCUUCCUCUAAGGCUAAAUAUAAUAUAUAAGCGAUAGUGAAAAGUACCGUGAGGUAAAAUUUGAAAUAGUAGUUUUAUAAGCAGCUCGAGUGAAAUUUAAGUAAAAAAUAAGAGCGUACCUUUUGCAUAAUGGGUCAGCAAGUUAAUUUUAGAUGCAAGCAAUGAUUUCUUGGUAAUUUACCAAGAAACUAGCUUAGAUAAACCAAUUAUGAGAAAAUGAAUAAGUAUCUAGAAUUAGACCCGAAGACUAGUGAUCUUACCAUGGUCAGGGUUAUAAAAGCCCGAACGGGUUAUCGUUGUAUAGAUAUCCGAAGAAUUGUGGUAAGUUAGUGAAAGACAAAACUGACUAGUAUAGCUGGUUUUCCGCGAAACCUAUAUGAGUAGGUAAUUUAACUAACAUCUUAGCAGGUACAGAACUGUGAUCUCGGACAAUAUCAAUUGAUUUUGUCAACAUCGGGGGGUUGUAGUGACUUUACCGGAGAGUAUUUGCACUCGGAAUGGCAAAGAUGAAUGUUAAAUAAUCGGACAUAGUGCGAUAAGGUUGUAUGUCUAAAGGGAAACAGCCCAGAACAAGAGUUAAGGUUCCAAAAUUAUUGUUGAGUGAAAUUAAGGAUGUUUUUUUUUAAUACAACCAGGAAAUAGGCUUAGAAGCGGCCAUUUUUUGAAGAUCUCGUAACAGAGCACUGAUUUAUUUUAGGGAAAAAUUCCGAAAAUUUAACGGAUCUAAAUAAUAUACCAAAACCUUGUACACAUUUUAAUAAAUAUAUAUAUUGUAUAUGUGGGGUAGCGGAACAUUGGAUUAAUAUAAUAUAUUAUUUCUUAUAAGAAAUAAUAAAUCUAGAUAAUUAUUAAUAAUAUUUAAGGAUAUUUGUGAUAUCUUUAUAUUUUUUUUAUCUUUAGAUAAAUAUGUUUUAUAUAUUUAAUUAUGUUUUAUAUAUUUAAUUAUGUAUUAUUAUUAUACGUUUUUAUUAUUAAUUAUUAUUGAUCGAUAUAAUCCAAGAGAGAAUGCUGACAUGAGUAACGAAAAAGGUAUAUCCUCGCCUUAAGCUUAUGGUAUUUUAUUUAAUUUUCGGUAUCUAAAAAUAUUAAUCAAAAGGUAAUUUUGAUGAUAUUUAUAUAUUAAUACUUAAAAGUAAAAAAACAAAACCUUUAACAAGUAAUAAAGGUUCGGGAAAAUUUUUUUACUUAAUAUAAAUAUAAAAAAAAUAGUCCCCUCGCCGGGGGCGAAGUCUUUUAAAUGAUUUUUUUUUGUAUUUAUUAUAUAACUUCUUGUUACAAGUUUUCAAGAUUGUAUAAUUUAAAUACAAUAUAUUAUAAAAAAAAUUAUAUUUAUAUUUUAUAUUGUAUAUUAAAGGCUGAUAUACAAACCUCGCGCGCGUGCAGUGAGCACGCACGCGAGGGGACUAAUAAGAUUUAUAUAUACCGUACCUAGAUACUAUCACAAGUAAGCAAGUAGAGAAUACAAAGGCGUUUGAGUGAACAAUCAUUAAGGAACUCGGCAAAUUGACUACCGUAACUUCGGGAUAAGGAGGGCCAUUUUUAUUAGUUUAACAUAUUUUACGAUAUGAUUUAAUUAAACUAAUUUUAAGAGGAAUCAUGAAAUAGUGUUGUACGACUGUUUAAUAAAAACACAGCACUCUGCAAAGAUUAAAUAUCAAAGUAUUGAGUGUGAUGUCUGCCCAAUGUCGGCAGGGUAACGGAUUUACCUUGGUUUUUAACUAAGGUUUUGAAGGAUACCCCGAUUAAUGGCGGCCUUAUCUAUGAGGGUCCUAAGGUAGCGAAAUACCUUGGCCGUUAAAUGCGGUCCUGCAUGAAUGACUUAACGAUACAACAGCUGUCUCGAUGAUUGUCUCAGUGAAAUUGGAAUAGCAGUGCAGAUACUGUUUACCUCUAGAUAGACGAGAAGACCCUAUGCAGCUUUACUGUUACUAAUUGCAAGAGUGAAAAUUCAGGAUGAUUGCGAGUGUAUAAGGUAGUUGUCUGAUAACAAUGAAACACCUUUAUUCGUUUCCUUUUAUAUGCUUUUGAGGAUUAGAAGGCAGUUUAUGCGGGGCACAGAUCCCACAAAAAGUACCUGGGUAUAUCCAAAGUUCAUAUGUAAAUUUGUAAAUUUCUUUACAAUUAUUUUAAUUUGUUAUAUUUAUUUUUAUAUUUAUACAGUUAUUAUAAGAUUAAAUUCAAUAUUUAUUUUUUUUUUAAGUAAGAUUUUAACUAUAUGGUAAAUAGAUGUAUUUUAAACUUUAAUAUUUUAAAAGUUUUUUGUCAUAUUAAUAUUGCAUAUUAACCUUUAUUAAUAUGAUGAUUAAUUAUACUUUAAAAGUUUAAUGGCUAAAUCUUGCUUUACUGUUUGACCUACAAGUCUAUCAGUCGCGUAAGCGGGGCAUAUGAUCACAAGAUGCAUUAAGGAAAGGUCUUGGAUUAUAGAAAAAGUUACGCUAGGGAUUUAUAACUGUGAGUCCUCCAAUAUUAUAAAAUAUUGGUAAAAUAUUUCUGAACCAUUUUGAGAAAAGUGGAAAUAAAAGGAAAAACCUUUUAUGAUAACAUAAUUGAACAGGCUAAUUUGCGCAAGAGAGUACAAAUUGAGUGCGCGGUUUGGCACCUCGAUGUCGGCUUAGCUCAUCCACAUGAAUGCAAAAAUCAUGAAGGGUUCGACUGUUCGUCGAUUAAAGAGCUACAUGAGCUGGGUUUAAUACGUCGUGAGACAGUAUGGUUUCUAUCUUCUAGAGGGAAUUAAAGUAGAAUAAGGAUAGCCCCUUCGUACGAAAGGAGUUGGGUAUAUUGACCUAUGGUUUACCUGUUGUUUAUGUUAUAUAUUAUAUCAUUUGCUUAUACUAAAGUAAAUGUCCGCAUAGGCAUGGCAGGAAGGCUACGUCAGUUAAAGAUAAGUGCUGAAAGCAUUUAAGCGCGAAGCUUACUUUAGGAUACUUUUAAACGUAGAAGAACACUACGAAUAAUUGUUAUAAGUUUACAUAAUAUCUUAAUAUUAAGUAAGAUUAUUAUAAUGAUUAAUAGGCUUUAGUUGAACUAAUCUUGAGAUUUUUAGACAUAAAGUACUAAUUAUUAAA